rfam:Picea glauca, whole genome shotgun sequence.
AUACUUACUUGGUCGGGGUCAGUCGUCCUACCAGGAAGGUCGAUGGCCUAGAAAGGCCACCUUCAUUGCACUUGAGCGGGGGGUCUCUGUGGCAUCUCCCAUUGAGGAGAGCGCACGCCAUAAUUAGUGGUAGCGAAGGCUCAUGUUUUUGACUCUAUA